UCUUUAGACCCGACACCCCAGAAACCCAAAGAGAAGCCAAAGACACCAGAGCAGCCCAAGAAGGAUGGUGACCUAGACCUCUGGGAUGCAUUCGGACCAGGCGAUUCACAGCCAGAGAAACCCAAGAAACCAAGUCCUGGAGGCUCUGAUUCCAACGGAUUCGAUCUGGGAGACGCUGUCAAUCCAGGACCAACCACCAAACCUGACAAACCUGCUGUCAAGCCACCAAAGGGUGGAGGAGGU